rnacentral:sRNA from 1 species
AAACACUUCGCCCCUGCAGGGGUGGAGACUGGCUGUGUUCGGAUGCCGGGGGGGAGAGGUGCAAUCCUCUCCUCGAGGCUGGUGGUUGCGACCACCCCCACUCCCCAAAGGCAGGCUCCAGAGGCGGCGGGACAGAGCUCCUGCGACCCCAGUCGGUGCUCCGGGGAGCUCACCUGCCGAGGAGGUAUGUGAGGAACAGCGCUGUGAGGAGGAAGUCUUCCCCCUGGCCAUGAACUACCUGGAUCGCUACUUGUCCUGCGUCCCCACCCGAAAGGCGCAGUUGCAGCUCCUGGGUGCGGUCUGCAUGCUGCUGGCCUCCAAGCUGCGCGAGACCACGCCCCUGACCAUCGAAAAACUGUGCAUCUACACCGACCACGCUGUCUCUCCCCGCCAGUUGCGGAAGAGACCCCAGUUCAUGGUGAUGCUGUGGUAUCUGCUGCUUCCGUCUUUCAGCCCUGGCUGGAGAAAUCCU